AUUGAACGCUGGCGGCAGGCCUAACACAUGCAAGUCGAGCGGAGCGGCGGGCGGGUGAGUAAUGACUAGGAAUCUGCCUUGUCGUGGGGGCUAACGUCAGGUCACGGACCCUAAUCCCGCAUCCUAUCUGCUGUGCCUAGGUGGUAUUAGCUAGUUGGUGGGGUAAAGGCCUACGAAGGCGACGAUCCGUAACUGGUCUGAGAGGCUGAUCAGUCACACUGGAACUGAGACACGGUCCAGACUCCUACGGGAGGCAGCAGUGGGGAAUAUUGGACAAUGGGCGAAAGCCUGACGCAGCCAUGCCGCGUGUGUGAAGAAGGUCUUCGGAUUGUAAAGCACUUUAAGUUGGGAGGCGGUACCAAAAGAAAAAGCAACGGCUAACUACGUGCCAGCAGCCGCGGUAAUAC
rnacentral:rRNA from 1 species